rnacentral:rRNA from 1 species
UACGAAGGGGGCUAGCGUUGUUCGGAAUUACUGGGCGUAAAGCGCGUGUAGGCGGGUCUUUUAAGUCAGGGGUGAAAUGCCAAGCUCAACCUUGGAACUGCCUUUGAUACUGGAGACCUUGAGUCCGGGAGAGGUGAGUGGAAUUGCGAGUGUAGAGGUGAAAUUCGUAGAUAUUCGCAAGAACACCAGUGGCGAAGGCGGCUCACUGGCCCGGAACUGACGCUGAGACGCGAAAAGCGUGGGGGAGCAAAACAGG